rnacentral:rRNA from 1 species
AGAACGAACGCUGGCGGCAUGCCUAAUACAUGCAAGUCGAACGAACUCUUCGGAGUUAGUGGCGCACGGGUGCGUAACGCGUGGGAAUCUGCCCUUGGGUUCGGAAUAACAGUUGGAAACGACUGCUAAUACCGGAUGAUGACGAAAGUCCAAAGAUUUAUCGCCCAGGGAUGAGCCCGCGUAGGAUUAGCUAGUUGGUGAGGUAAAGGCUCACCGAAGGCGACGAUCCUUAGCUGGUCUGAGAGAUGAUCAGCCACACGUGGGACCUGACGACACGGCCCAGACUCCGUACGGGAGCAGCAGUAGGGAUAUGGA